UACAGAGGUCUCAAGCGUUGUUCGGAUUCAUUGGGCGUAAAGGGUGCGUAGGUGGCAGGGUAAGUCGGGAUGUGAAAUCCCGGGGCUCAACCUCGGAACUGCAUUCGAUACUGCUUUGCUGGAGUACUGGAGAGGAGAUUGGAAUUUACGGUGUAGCAGUGAAAUGCGUAGAUAUCGUAAGGAAGACCAGUGGCGAAGGCGGAUCUCUGGACAGUUACUGACACUGAGGCACGAAGGCCAGGGGAGCAAACGGG
rnacentral:rRNA from 1 species